ACAUUACCAAAAAGGUAAAAAAACAACAACAAAACAAAGCUAUUUGCACAUGCUUAACAAUAUCUCAAACCAACUUCAUGAGGUGCAUCCUGGAUUUUCAACAGUCCUGAAGGAAAUUCCAUGCAUGCUGAACAAUUGUUAGCCGUGUUUCCUUUACGAGUCCAACAUGAGUCCAACAUUUUGAAUCAGCGGUUCUCAGUCUUUUUUGACUCAAAAGCCCCCCAAUGUCCAACAUAACAUUCAAAGGCCCCCAACCAUAUAGGCAGUAGAUUGUUGAGAUCACUGAGGUUUUGGGACGAUGGCUCUCAUUUCACCUCUAAUGACAAAACCUGGGAUCAGGCUGAUGGCUCCUGCUUACACUGUGAGAUAUAUAUAUCAAAAAUAUGAAAGGGAGGUAAGAUGAUACCUCGAGUGGUGUAUGAGACUCGACUGCAAAUUUACAGCUCAUCUGCCGACAUGGAGCAGGGAUGUAUUCAUCAUGGUGCCCAUGGACUGAAACCUGCCACUGCAGGACUUGGACAAGAGAUCUGUCACAAAUGACACAGGCCACAGUAAAAAAAUAAAUAAAUCUUUGUGUGAUGAAACUGAAACUGGAGUCUCUCUAAUAGUGAGGAUGUGAUGAAGCAUGUACACAGAGAUGCAACAGAGAGGUCAUCUUGGAAAAUAUAAACACCUCUACUCAAAUGCUUGGCCAGAAACAACACUCAUCAAAAGAGAUUCCAGAGACAGUAGGAAAGAUCCACAUGGCAAAUGUUUAGAUCUUGCUUAUCAUUCACCAAACCAGAAUUCUCACCAGUUGGAAAACUCCCCUGAGACGCCACUAAUGUGUGUUGUUUGAUAGAGAAAGGAUCAAGGAGACUGUAUUGAGGAGCAAACAGUCUUCCAUAAACUCUCUCUUCCUGGAAGCCCAGUCUGUCUUAAUGAGUUGGCUUUGGUAAAAAGGAAACACGUCGCUUGCAAAUUUUGGUCUUUCAAGUGCUGCUUUGGAAUACCAUCAAUCCACGCGCUCAUCCUCAUCGUCUUCGUUCUCAACGUGCCACAGUUUUGGGGAAACUCCAUUACAAAGAGUUCCUGCGGGUAUCUCAGAGGAUCUCAGUUACUCCAUUCCGCAAAUUCUCAUUUCAAAAACUGUCCCACCAGCUGUGGAGGCAACAAAAUGUGAAGUAAGCAAGAUAGCAUUUUUAAUAUAUAUUUUAAUACAUGAUUUGGACAUUGAACCAAAUAUUCAUUUGAAUCAUUGUUGAUUCAAUGUCAUCAUGAAAGAGUACCAUAUUUUACUGCAUUGCUUUUUUUACUUUUUUGUUUGAUCAGGCACUAAGCAUUAGGAUUUAUUGAGCUUUUUGCUUAGACUGGCCAGGUUUCCCUGCACAAUACCUCUCUCUGUUGGCCACUCUGCUCAAAAAAACAACCCUGAACUUAAGACAUUUCAUCCCUGUCCAGCAGAUAUGCAAUGGGGCCCAUCUUGUGUUGUUGUAUAUUUCCCUUUCAUUUUCUUUAUGCAUGACACAAGUCCACAGAUACACAACUGACCUCUUCCUCUAAUAAAUUAACAUCUAAACAUAUCACCUUCACUGCCAGCCGGGGUGGGUCAAUUGGACUCGAUGAGUGAAUCUGAGAACAGAGGGCCCCAUGGUACUAAAACGUGGUGUCUGAUUUUGCACUGUUAGGCGAUGUUAUUUUAGCCGGUGUUUGACUUUUGCGGCUGAGGCUAGACUUGUUAGUUUAGGUUCCUGCCCUUCUGCCAAUGUUGUUAGCCACAUUCAGAGCCACCCUCGACAUAUUAGGUGACUCUUUUGCUUCUUCGCUUUUGAAAAUAACAUAACAGAGUAUCCCCCACCUGAAGUGUUUUGCUCAGAGGAGCAUCUGAUUCCACUCUGAGGUAUAAACUUUUGAGCUUUGGCUUCAAAUGAAUCUUGCUCUUUUGAUUGAGCAGCAUGGAAAUGUGUUUGACUUGUUAAAUGACGAGGUUCACUAGCGCAUAAAGCAGCAUGGUGAUUUUGAAAGUGUGCAUCUAUUCAGCCCACAGUUAUAUAACAGACAAUUAGCUUGUGGUUUCAUUCAGCCACAGCUUUGAAAGGGCACCACAGUGAAUGAGGCUCAAAAGAGGAUCAUGUACUUAACGUCUGUCUAUCUUUUGAAAAAUAUAUAUAAAAUCAAGUACACAUAAAUAGCUUAAAAAUAUCAUAAAAACUGUCCCUUGAAAAAAAAAAAAAAACUGCAAUGUAUUAACCUAAAUC